AUCACUACGGUGACUUGCAAGCAACUCACUGUGCUUUGAUGUCGGACUACUUGAAUUUUUAAUUCAGUGAUAAAAAAUUUUUGGACACAGUCAAGUACUUGAGAAGUCGGUGUGUGAGACAAGAUGGAAUUGAUCCCUCCGAAUAAGUAAGAGUUAAUAUAUCAGUGUAUUUCAAUUCAGUAAAACCUCAACCGGAGUAAUCCAUAUGAUAGAUUUUGAAAAUUAAAAUACAAUAUGGAUGACCAUAUCAAGGUUGAUAGUUAAAUCC
rnacentral:lncRNA from 1 species